AGCAGAAAGUUAUGCCCUUACGAAGUUUUGACCCAUGAAACUGGAUCCGGACACGCGUCUCGACCCGUUCAUCAAAACGACGCCGUUUUCGUCGACCCACAAAAUAACCCAGUUACCAAAACCACGCCGUUUUUGUUUCAGAGACAAAACGGGUAGGUGUACGUUCAUCAGCGUCGUCUCUCCCAGCCUCUCCUUCUUGCUUCCGCGACUACGUUGUCUCCGAAGUGUUAGGGUGAAUGUUCGAUCUCUCCUUCUCCCCGUUGUCUCCGUUUUCCGAUUGGUGGGUCAUGGUACUUUUGGGUUUAGGGUACUCGCCUUCGCUUAUUCCAUAUGGUUACGAUUCCAGCAUCAUCAUGCCAGUAAUGUCCUUCACCCAGCCUCAUGAUGUUCUACUCAAGGUGUACCAGAAUCACUGAUCGAAAGGGUUGGGUUGACGACUUUUUCCAUUUCAAGUCUACUGCUUCCAAGUUCAACUAUUAUAUUACAGGUUUGUGCUGUCAAAGUUCCUGGUUUUGGGGAUAACAGAAGAGCAGAUUUAGAGAUCUUGCCAAUCUUGCCAUUUUGACUGGAGGAGAGGUCAUCUUUGAAGAGCGUGGUGUAACUCUUGACAAAGUCAAAGUCCAAGAUGAAACGUUUGGUACUGCCAAAAAGAGGUCACUGUCUCGCUGGAUCAUACAAUUAUUCUACAUGGUGGUGGGGACAAACAGUUAAUUGAAGAAAGAUGUGAGCAGCUAUACAGAAUAACUAUUAGAUACAGAAAUGCUAGUUGGUUUAUUUAGAAGAAAUCUUCCUGCAUCUUUUUCUUCAGAUACUGUUACAUGAAUCAUCGAACCAAGCUGAGGAUAUCGAUUGAGAAGAGUACAGCUGUGUUUUACAAGCACAAAUCUCAUGAAAGGCUUUCAAAGCUUUUUGAACCAGAUGCACCUUCUGAACCAAGCUGAGGAUAUCGAUUGAGAAGAGUACAGCCGUGUUUUACAAGCACAAAUCUCAUGAAAGGCUUUCAAAGCUUUCUGGUUGUCCCGCUGUCUUUAAGGUUGGAGGUGCUAGUGAGGCAGAGGUUGGAGAAAGGAAAGAGAGAGUAACUGAUGCUCUAAAUGCUACUAGAGCAUCCGUGGAAGAAGGAAUUGUAGCGGGCACCUACAUUAACAAUAGCUUUGAAUGCUGGUUUUGAUGGCACUCUGGUUCUGGGAAAACUAUUGGAGCAAGAUGAUCACAAUUGGGGAUUUGAUGCUGCAAGAGUUGGAAGGAAUGGCGGCCUCUCCGUCUUCGUUUUGGUUGGCCUGGAUUCUGAUCACUUCCGUCUUCUUCGAUUAUAGAUCGUCACCUUUGUUCUUAGCUAAGGUUCAUCUGCGCUUGCUCAGUUCCCUGUUUUCGUUACUGUGCCCAGCUCAAAAUUAAGUCCACUCUUACCUUGGUUCUCGGCUAUGGUAAGUUAUAUGUUUCGUCACUGUUGUUUCGGUGAAGCUCGACUCUUCAUCGCAUCGCUGUUGUUUUGGUUCGGUUACUCAUUUUGGAACUCCCCUAUCGAUUGCCUGGCCUUUGAAGCUCCUCUUGGUUUGUGUUGAUUUUUGGUUGUUGUUGAUCUCUAAUUUGCCUUCGUGAUUUUUAAUGUCGAUUUUUUUUCCUGGAUGUUUCACUUUCACUGUUUGCUAAUCUUCUCUUGGUGUCUGUUGAUUUUUUCGAUUGUCAUUGCUCUCUAAUUUGCCUUCCAUUUCCUUUGUGAAUUUUUAUGUCCAUAUAUAUUUUUAGAUGUCCAACUUCUUUACUUUCACAUGUCUUUACUAAUUGCUGUUUCUUCUGUCCACUACACUUCUAGGAUUUGGAUUAGCUGCUGCAGUUUACUUGCUAUAUUGUUCUGUUUGUGUCUGUACUGAUUCUGUUUACAUAUUUGAGACGACAUGGUCAUACUAAUUUAUUUAGAGUCUUUCUUAUUAUUUGCAGUACAUGUUUUGAGUUCGGUUAUGUAAAUAUGUUUCGCAGCUUCAUUACACUUAUUUACUUCAAUUUUCGUUUACAUUUUUACAAAUUUUGGGUGAUAAAUUUCUAAAUUAAACGAUUGUUAGUUCGUUGCCCAUUCUGUGAUGGUAAGUAAAAGUUGGUGUGUCCCUUUCCCAGUAUUUUUGGGUGCCGCUGGCUGAGUCUCUAUCUCUCUUUCUUUCGCUGUUGGUUAUCUUCAUUCCUUUAUUUGAUUUUCUUAAUUUUUUUUGGCCUCAUGGUAUGCCCUUUUAAGAAUUUUUUGCCAUUUUAAGGCUGUUAUGGGAAACCCUGAUUUAUUCAUCACUUUUACGUGUAACGUGCAAUGGGUUGAGAUACAGAAUGCAUUGAAUCUUAUACCUGGAUAGAAAAUAGAAGUCAUGCCUGAUAUAGUCUCCUGGGUAU